AGGAAUGCACCUCCACCCGAUUGGUCAUUUUGAAUGACGUCAUGCUGGAACCUCAUUGGAGAAAAUCGCCGGCAGCGUCGUCUGCUGCUAGGUCCGCUAUGUGUACUGUCUGUCUAGCUCCACAUCCCGCUUGAUUGUGUGAUUGUGGUGUGAAUCACGUGGUUUCAGGAUUGUGUUGAACUUUUCGAGUGCAGGAACGGGGAAAGGUAAGCACUGGUGCAUGAGUGAAGGUGCAGGAAGAGCACACAAGGAAUGGUGUUGACCCACAGUGCUUUCAGCUGUCAUCCAACGAAAAUGCAAAGAUUGCAGGGAAACUAGCAGAAGGUGUGUCAUUGCAAGUCGUCCUGCAUGAUGUACAGGACUCUACUGCUGGCCCUGUAACACGUCUCCACCUUGUCAACUGAAUGGACCUCCACAACAUACUGAAGUCUUUUGACGUCAGUUAUGCCAAAAGAAUGGAUCAUGACGAUUUCGUGAGUGUUGCUGGGGCGUAGGUCUCUUGUUACUUGCGAUGAGGCAACGCUCACUCAGGACAACAGCCCAGUGAAGUUCUUCAAACAGGGAGCAUAACUGAAUACGACGACAUGACAGUUGAUGAGUACAGUGCGGGCAUGCCUUUUGCUUACUGUGUGCAGGAACUCUCGUCACAAAGGUGUUUAUGUCAGACAAUGCAUCAGUGUUCUAUAUUGCAUGGAAGACCGUGAUGGGACAAGCAGAACGAGGGUUGCUGUGUGUGUGGCACAUAGACCAAAACUGGCAGAAAAGUCUGAGCAAGAUUAAAGGUAUGCUUGAAGAUGGAAGACAUAGGAAGCAUCCAAAAUUUCGAGAUUUAUUACGAGCUUUCAGGCAGAGACUGCCCUUCUUCAGGUACAUUGUGCACAUGUUACAAAACAAUAUAUAGCACUAACAUGGGUGAGAGCAGAAAGGAAGAGGGUGAGGGAGUACAUAGUGAUGAACUGCUUGACACAUUUGAUGUCACAAAAAUAUUCAUAAAGAGAUAGAAAGUAACAACUGGGAAAGAAGACAAAAUAUACAUGGCAUUGAGAUCCGUUGGAGAGACUAAAACCUAUGUGAAUGAGACUGAGGAUGUUUUUGCCCAGAAAAGUACCCACACAAUCAACAGCAGCAUUCAUAGGACAAAAAAGGCCAAAACAUUCAAGCUCAGGUGUACAAAUCACUGAGACUGCUUCCGGAGUGCACAGACGUCCAAGAAUUCGAGAACUUGAUGACCUUGUUUUUAGAUGAUGCUGACAAAACCUUUCAAGAUAUCCUCAUCUACUUCAAAAACAGUUAUCCAUCCCGACCUGAAGUAUGGGCACGCUGCCACAGAGCGAGUGCAGGAAUAAACAUGAACAUGUAGUUGGAGGGCAUGCACAGGGCUCUCAAGCAUUGCUGGGAGAAGCAUUGGAAGAAAAGAACAAGACAAUAGACAAGCUGGUCUCGGCUUUGAUGGGAUAGACUAGGGACAAGCUCUUUGACGGCCUUAUCAAGAUGUGUAUGGGAGCUCAUCAUGCAAGUGAAAGGAUGGCAGAUGAUAGUGUGGCACCAUCAAGGGAUCCAAGUGUUUGGGAUGUGAAGCCCCAGUCUGUUACAGGUGUAACAUACACAGUCACAGCAAUACCACCAGCAAUACACAUGAUGGAAAGGAAAAUGUGUGCUAAAAUGCAAACAGUGCAAAAUAUGUGUUCAUGGCUAUGUUUGUACAUGUCAUGAUCAUGUAAUCAGCUUUAAUAUGUGAAGACAUAUUCAUAGUGUUGCAUGUUCUGGGGACACCCAACACGCACAGCCAUGAAGGAGUGAACAACCUGAUGCCAGGAGCUCCUUGACAGUAUCUGUGCUCUAAAUGAAUCAAAAGUGGCCGUUGCUGUCAGCUCAGAUGCGUCACAAGCCUUUCCUCUGGCACACAGCAUUGUUGGUUAUUUGUUCUCAGCUGGUGUGAACAAGAGAUAGUCACAAAAGUACAAAAACUGCUACAAAGUGCCGCAGAUUUGUUGAGUUUCAAGCAAAGAAGUUGGCGCACAAAGGAACCACACAAUAAAAAGGUGGAAAAGCUGCUUCACUUUCAUACGACAAACAUAUAGGGACUAAAAAGGGCCAAGGCUUAUUCUGUCGAAGGCAACUGCAGAUGAGCAAGAAAAUGAUGCUGCAGCAGCUUGCUAAUACAAAAGUUGAGGUCCCUUAUAUUCAUACAGGUUUUGACCAUAUCUACAUAGAUCUCUUAAUUAUACAUGCAGUAUUAAGCCAGGUCCUGCUGCGACAAAAUUUGUAGUGUUAUCUUACAGGAGUAGAGAGAGCAAUCCCAAAAAUGUUCAGAUUAAGACGUCUGAUAAAAGUGUAUGUGUCAUCUUACCAAACAGAGCGAAAGAGUUUUUGAUCUGUCCACUCCGUCACCCUUAACUCGCCACUCCGGGUAUAUACGCUGAGGAGAAGUAUGAUGCCACAUCACCGGUGACGUUACAGGGCCAACUAGUUCUGAUUCGCUGGUCAGGGGGUCACUGCCCUGUCCCUUUGCUGCCAUAAACCAGUUUUGCCAAUUCUCCAGGAGAAUUGUGGAUAGAAGAAGAGGCCGAAUCAUUACUGAGCUAGGAGAAAGGCCCUUUCAGAACCCCAAGCAGCAGACAACAUUUCUCUGGACCAAUCGGCAUGCAUGGCCCCUGUAGCAUCAGCGUGAGGUCCCAGGCAGAUCACAGGCUGAUACUGCUCUCCACCGCAGUUGCUCUUUGCGGCGUACUUAAAUUCAAUUUCUGCGAUAAUUACGACUCUGUGGUGUGAAUGACUUCUCAUGGUGCAUGUUACCGGUUUGCUUAAGUUUUAUAAGAAGAAAACAGGAUGUUAAAAAUGUCUUCUGUGCUACUUUAAGUCUUAUGAUAUUAUGUGUACUACAGGCAUUUUGGAAUAUUACUUUUCUUCUUGUGGAUUGCUAUUGGCAACCUUUUAUGUAGCACUCUUUUAGUGUUGUGUGAAAAUGCACUAUGUAUUAGCACACAGUUUUCAGUGCGAUGCUCUUUGUGUGGAUAUCUUUUAGCACAAUUUUCAAAUUAUAAUUUUUAUGUGCUUCCAUGCAAAUCUCACAGAUAUUAAUGUGUUGUGCUGCAGUGUUUCUUUCAAUUGCUUCUACUAUAUGUGUUAAUUAAAACAAAACAGUUGGUGGCUC